rnacentral:rRNA from 1 species
CGCGUAGGCGGCCGUUUGCGUCGGAUGUGAAAGCCCGGGGCUCAACCUCGGAACGGCAUUCGAUACGGGACGGCUGGAGACCGGGAGAGGAGAGUGGAAUAGCCAGUGUAGAGGUGAAAUUCGUAGAUAUUGGCUGGAACACCGGUGGCGAAAGCGGCUCUCUGGCCCGGUUCUGACGCUGAGGCGCGAAAGCGUGGGGAGCAAACAGGAUUAGAUACCCUGGUAGUCCACGCCCUAAACGAUGUGUGCUGGGCGUCGGGGGGCUUGCCCCUCGGUGCCGGAGCUAACGCGGUAAGCACACCGCCUGGGGAGUACGGCCGCAAGGUUAAA